rnacentral:rRNA from 1 species
CCUACGGGAGGCAGCAGUCGAGAAUCAUUCACAAUGGGGGAAACCCUGAUGGUGCGAUGCCGCGUGGGUGAAUGAAGGUCUUCGGAUUGUAAACCCUUGUCAUGUGGGGGCAAAUUAAAAAGUUAGUACCACAAGAGGAAGAGACGGCUAACACGGUACCAGAAGCCGCGGUAAUAAAGAGGUCCCACGCGUUGAUCGGAAUCACUGGGCGUAAAGCGUGCGUAGGCUGUUUCGCAAGUCGUGUGUGAACGGCGCGGGCUCAACCCGGGGACGGCACAUGAUACUGGGAGACUAGAGUAAUGUAGGGGGAACCGGAAUUCUCGGUGUAGCAGUGAAAUGCGUAGAGA